AACGAACGCUGGCGGCAGGCCUAACACAUGCAAGUCGAACGCACCGCAAGGUGAGUGGCGCACGGGUGAGUAACACGUGGGAAUGUAACCUUUGGUUCGGAAUAACGUCUGGAAACGGACGCUAAUACCGGAUGAGCCCUGCGGGGGAAAGAUUUAUCGCCAAAGGAGCAGCCCGCGUCUGAUUAGCUAGUUGGUGGGGUAAAGGCCUACCAAGGCGACGAUCAGUAGCUGGUCUGAGAGGAUGAUCAGCCACACUGGGACUGAGACACGGCCCAGACUCCGACAGUGAGCAUCAUUUGGAGAAAUUGUACAAUGGGCGUAAGCCUGUUCCGGCACGGCCGCCUGAGUGAUGAAGCCCUUCGCGUUGUAAAGCUCUUUCGCAGGCGACGAUGAUGGCGUAAGCGUGGGAGGAAGCCCUGGCUAUCUGCGUGCCAGCAACCGCCGUAAUAC
rnacentral:rRNA from 1 species